rnacentral:lncRNA from 9 species
GAGAUCCGAACCGGAGGAGUCUCUUAAGCUUGCGUGUUCCCGGCUGCAGUGGCUGCCUUGCGGUAUGGGACGAGCGGGGCCCGAGCGGGCGGAAAUUUGAGAGUUGAAAAAUACUCCCAGAAUCCACAUACUACAUCAGAAAGACUUGGAACUCUCCUGCCAGCAUGGUUUGUAACCUUCUCACUGUUGGCAUUGUUUAGAGUGCAUGAAGUGGUCUUUCUCCAUUUGUCACUCUCAGGAAUGUCACAAACUGGGAUGUACAUGAAGUAAAAUGACCUUCUUAAUUAGAGGAAGACUACUAUUUAAUCCAGGGUAAACCGUUGCACUUUCUAUAUUGAAUUUUAUUUUGUUUUACCUAAUUCUUAUUUAUAUUGAAUUCAUAAAGUUAUGAGCUUCUACAGUGGCUGAUAUUUUAUCAUCUUAUCAUAUUAAUGUGUUUCUCUUAUAUUUUGCUUAAGCUUCUUAUUAUUCUUAUAAAGUAGCAAGUAUACCAGAUUUCCUAAUUCAGUUUGCUUCAAUUCCAAAUUCUUUUCUAGCACUUGAAAACAUAAGCCAGGAGACUCUAAACCUAACAUAUGUAACCAAAUGAUUCUCUGAUUUGCCAAAAUGAAUACAUCAUCAUGCUGAAAUUUGGCUGCUUUGGCCAAGAGCUCUAUUCUUUUUACAUAACAUAAUUCCCUUUUAUGGUUUCAUAUUCACUCUUCCAUUUUAUCUUAAAUCAUCCAAAGCAGUGUUUUUUCUAAUUGUCAGAAAAAAAUAAUUUAAUUAUUCCUCUAAUCGAGCUUAUUAUUUUGCUAUAAACCUGACAUUGCUUUCUAAAUAGGAGCUUGCUUGUUUAGCUUAAUUAUAUUUUGUGUGUUAUAAGACAGGUGGUCCCAUGAUUAGUGAUACAGAAAAAAUCUCUGUCAAAUAGAUAAAUUAUUUAAUGUGUUCUCUUAGUUUAUUUUUAGUGGGAUCUUGGCAAAAUCUCAUUUCAUGGAACGAACAUAUGAUAUUUAUUUAUCUCUCAUCCUAUAAAGUUCAUUAAAAUUUUGAAUGCAAAAAUUUAUUGCAUUUGCAUUCAGUCUAAAUCAUAAUAAAUGUUGCAUUACUAUUAAACAUUUAUUUUUCAAACUCACAUCAUUUCACAAUAAAUUUUGAAUUUGAACAAAAGUUUUUCUUGGUAUAACGAUUUUUUGGGAGAUUAUUACAUUAAAAAUAUCAUGAAAGCCAAAAUAGUGAUCUUUUGAACAUAGACCCUUUUUAUAUGCAAUGAUGAAUGCAUGUGUGGCUUUAAAGACAGUUAAAUUUGAAACAUGCUUCUCACAUGUUAAUCUCUUAUUAGCUUUCUUCAAUACAUUUUUACUUUAAUCACUUUA